UUUGAAUAACUGGUUUGAGGUCAUUAUUUGACUUGUUCUCAUAGUAUUUUAUAAUUUGAAAGAUUCAAGUUCUUGAGAAGAUUUUAUAUCCAUUACUGUCUUUUCGAGCACAGAGCUUGUUCAUCUUGAUUCCUAUUUCAUUGGAAUUCAUUGAACUUCAAAUACUGUGAAGCGUAUGCUUAAAAAUCAUAAUAUUACAAUUUUUUUUGAAUGUCACUCUGUUUUCUGAAAUAACAAAAUGAUUGCCACUUGCUUGAUUUUGUAUUUGUAAUGAAUAUUUG
rnacentral:misc_RNA from 1 species